rnacentral:rRNA from 1 species
AUUGAACGCUGGCGGCAGGCCUAACACAUGCAAGUCGAGCGGAUGAAGGGAGCUUGCUCCUGGAUUCAGCGGCGGACGGGUGAGUAAUGCCUAGGAAUCUGCCGGGUAGGGGGGUAUAACGUCGGGAAACGGGCGCUAAUACCGCAUACGUCCUGAGGGAGAAAGUGGGGGAUCUUCGGACCGCAUGCUAUCAGAUGAGCCUAGGUCGGAUUAGCUAGUUGGUGGGGUAAAGGCCUACCAAGGCGACGAUCCGUAAAUGGUCUGAGAGGAUGAUCAGUCACACUGGAACUGAGACACGGUCCAGACUCCUACGGGAGGCAGCAGUGGGGAAUAUUGGACAAUGGGCGAAAGCCUGAUCCAGCCAUGCCGCGUGCGUGAAGAAGGUCUUCGGAUUGUAAAGCACUUUAAGUUGGGAGGAAGGGCAGUACGUUAAUACCUUGCUGUUUUGACGUUACCUACAGAAUAAGCACCGGCUAACUUCGUG